rnacentral:tRNA from 1 species
GGCUCCAUAGCUCAACUGGAUAGAGCAUCUGCCUUCUAAGCAGACGGUUACAGGUUCGAGUCCUGUUGGGGUCACCA